UUUUUUUUUUUUUUUUUUUUUUUUUUUUUGGGGGGGUUUUUUGUUUUGUUUUUUAAAUUGAAGGCUAAAGUUUUUGAAAAAACUUUGUUGGACUCUGGCUGGGACACAAAAUCAGAUAUUUGGAAUCAUUUUGAAGCUUAACUUUUUCCUAACCAGCCUUGUAUUCUAAUUGCUUGCAAAUGUGAGACUGAAUGGCCAAAAUGCCGUUUGUUUGUUUGUUUAUUGUCAGCUGCUUUUAUCAAAUUCCAGGCCAUUAUCCAGCAAACACUAUUAAAAUGUUUGAACAGUUGGGUUUCAAACAUUUUUGUUUUGUGGAGUGGUGCUUAUUAAGUGGUACAGCUCUCUAAGCAAGUGAACACAAACAUAUUUAAGUGUAUUUUGUAUGAUUAGAUGUUACCAAUUCUGAUAUUUUAUUCAAAUGUCUAAAAAAAUAAGUUGACUUAUUCCCUUUACCAAAGGGCCAGAGACAAAUGGUUUCCUUUCAAGAGAAAUGACUGUUUUGAAGAAAAACUCUGUUGGUCUUAGCUCUUUUGUAAUUAAAUCUGGAUGUACCUCAAAAGACUCUUUAAGACUGUGGUGUUAAAAGGCUUUCCUCUGGAGAAGGAGAAAAAAUAAAAUCAACUGGAACUUAAAAGCUUGAAAUUCCAUGACAAAACACAGAUGUCCAGGAUUGGAGGUUCAUAAAGUACAUGCAGUAGUUGGAGUGGAUUCCAUUUUCAGUGUAGCUGCCACCAUGGACUCCAGGCUCCCAGAUUUUCAAGAACUGGACCUGUGACCCAGAAGAGCUUGUCAAGAUAUGACAGGAACUCUGGAGGUGGACGUUUUGUAUUCAAUUUUGGAACUGUUGAUCUUGCCGUGAGAAAAGAGAGACACGACUCACCAAGCACUGCCACCAGCACUGUCACUGGGAACUUGAAGAUCCAAGUUUCUGUCCAGAACCUCAGUGCAAACUGACAACACUCCAUCCAAAGUGAACUACGUCCCGUGCCUCCUGAUUGCUGAAUGUUCACCUGGACCUGCCAAUGACCUUCCUUCUGCUACUCCAUCAGCCUACAGACCUGGUACUUGGAUUUUUGUCCAUGGUGAUUCCUUCCACCUUACUACUGAAGAAGACACCAUUCCAGUGGACCACUGUGACCCAAGAAGCAUUCAGCCAUCAUGAUGUGGCCUUUACCUCCACUCCUGUCCUACUCUGCCCAGAUUCAGCACAGCCCUUUAUAGUGCAGUCAAGAGUCUUCAAGCCAAAUAACUGAAGCUAUUUUAUCACAACAAAGGCCAGGUUUAUUCCAUAAAUGUACAGUUCAUUUCUGCAGUUUAUUCUUCAGAGACACAUAGUAAAUUUGGACCAGGGGAUUUUGUUUUGUUUAUAUUGUCAACACUGUCUGAAGAAAGGCAUCUCUGAGAACAGCAUUGGACCCUACUCCACAAUCUCAAAUGAUUGAAGUUUCAUAAACUGCCUAGGAUCCUGUCAAGGCCACUGGACUCUUGUUCUUUUCCUACUUCAAAAUCUGUAGCUGUCUACUAAAUGACAAAGCAGAUAUUCUGACCCAUUGGGAUCAAAACCAAGGCAUUUUGAAUUCCUCAUAGUAUCAUCUUCGGGUUACUCAGGAACCAAAACUUUUCACACCAAUUUAAGAAAUUCUACUGAGGAAUCCCUUUACCUAACCAUCUCACAAGGCUUCAACCAGAUUCCUGAAAAGGCCUCUUGAUAUAUCAAGAUAGAACCUACAUGGUAAUCUCCUCUUUUUAUAGCACUUUACAGGUUCAAAGCACUUUCAUAUACAUGUAUGCCGAUGACCAACAUAGUCAACACCACUUUUUGAAAUGAGAGGACAGAAGUUGUUUAAGUACUUAGCAAUUCCUAGGUGACACAGUGGUAGAAGUGAGUCCUUCUGACUCCCAGUCCAGUAUUACCCUUGGCAUUAUCUUAGCCUUCACUUUAUCCACAGUAUUAAAAUCACUGGAGACUGAUGCAUCUGCUUCCAAUUUACAUGGUGCCCUUAUUAGAGCACAGUGCUUGAAGUGCAAUUGUGAUAACUACGCUAGACCAGAAUCCCUUGAUGACCUCCCUAAAGUGUAGGAAUAAGCAGUCUCCGUGGUGGUUGAUGAUUUGGUUUUUAAAAAAAUACACAAUAUGAAACAAAAAAGUUUUUGGAUUUUCUUGUUCAUUUUCAUGGUCUCCCCAAAAAGUAAUUAACUACAGAUUUGCAUUUGUUUCUGUUAAUUGCUUUAAGUUUUGUUAAUGUUCCUGAACACAGAAAGCUUACCUAUAGUCUUCUGUCCCCAAAUUAAUAGGUAGAAUGAGCCAUUUGCUUUUAUAUAUGUAUGUAAUUUAUCGUUUUUGCUAUCCAAUGACGUGAUAAAAUAUGUAGUAUGUGUUUCCGCACAAACAGUGCAGUGUAGUAUAUUAAGGUCUCAAGAUGUGCAGCAAAGCUUCAUUUUCCCAAUGUGUUAUAUACAUCUUUUAGACAUGGAUUGAUGCAGGGUGUUUUUAUUUUGUUUUUCCUACAUUCUUUUUAACAGAACGGUAAACCCAGCUGUGUAACCAGUGAUUCUUAAUUAUUGGCAGAUUGGCCUAGAGACCCCAUAAUAAAUUCCUUGUCUUUGAAACACCCUUUCUCAUACUUUGUUGUUAACUGAUUGAAUUAGUGUGUUACACAUUUUGAUUAUUACCUUUUUGCCAGUGGAAACUAAAGUAUUUGUGGGAAUAAUAGGGAAGAAUAGGGGUGGGGGAUGACUUUUGUCAUAGUUGAAUUAGCAGUAACUUCUCACUAAAGAACUUUUAAGGGGAUUGAUUCUCAGGUACAUAAGGAGAGAAAAGAUUUUUCAUAGAAUUAGUGUUAUAGCUCACUGAGAUCUUACUGCUUAAGUCAUCCAACCAUGGACUUCUCAAGUAAUAUUUGCAAAGAAAUGGAUACAUUUUCCAGUGCUAUUACAACUUAAAACCAACAAUCUUGUUCCCUGAUAGUCAUUUUUAAUAUUUUUAUCCUUUUUGGGGGGAUUUCAUGCAAUGUAUUUUGAUCAUAUUCCCCUAACUUCCCCAAAACUAUUCCCUACCCUCUUUCAAUUUCAUGUCUUUUUAAUCCCCCAGUUUGUGCUGCUCAGAUACUUAAUGAGACACCCACUAGAGCAUGGUUGACCCUUUUAGUCAAUUUUAAACCCAACUUUAAUCAAAAUUUAUAAUAAAACUUAAAUUCUAUCGAUCUGUAAGAUGGUCCACAUUAGAGAAAGAAUAGAAAAACUUUGUCUACUUUGUCUGCUUUGUCUUAACAUUGAGCUUGCUUACCAUAUUCUGGUUUCCAUUACCUAUUUUUUGUAUUUCAGCAUUUUGUGAACAACUUAUCACUGAUUUUCCAAAGGCUUUGUGCUCUUGAAGUUCUUUGAAGGAAAGCUGUGUGGAAGUCCAGAGUAAAGUGAAGCUGCUCUGGAUGAAGUAGUGAAGUGGGAGUUGAGGUCUACAACCUGCCACAACCAUCUUCCUUUACCACCAUGGUGAUGCCAAAAGGGACUUCCUUAAAGCUCUUCAGAAAAUCCUGCUUGAAACCACUACCCUAGACAACAUGUUUGACCUGGAUGGCAUUCUCUUCAAAACAAUUCAUAUUCAGUUGAUGCUCAACAUGUUUGGAGAUGCUUUAUUCAGAGAAUGAUGAUAAUUACAGCAUUGUCUAAUGAAGUUUUAUUAAUAGCAUUCCAUCCAAGGUGGACUUCCUGGAGUUGGAUAUAACCAGAGAGCAAUUCAUAUGUAUCCUACACUGAAGAACACCAUUAACUUUCAGCAACCUAUAGCUAGUGGUACUAGAAGUACGUGUCUUGGAAGUCUAUGAGAGCUGGUAUUGAAGCUGAUGCCUCCUUAAGGCCAUCUUAGACCAAGUUGUUUGUUUGACCUCUCCUCAUUAACUAUGGAGCAGAAUUGAAAUACAAAUUUUUCCUAAAGGGACUUGCAACCUGGUUAUCAUUCAUUAUCUCAAGUUUCAAGUCAUGUUGAUGCAACCAGUAGUUAUUAAACUGCUCCAUGGUUUUUUGUUAUUUAAUACUUUUUCCAGGGCUUAAAAAAACAAAAUUAAAUUUCUCCAACACGUCUAUACUUGUCUGUUCAAAAGUAACUACUCACCACUAUAUGGAACAGAUGAUUCUGAAGACACUCUGAGCAUCCUUUAUGAUAUUUGUGACUUAAAAUGUGGCUGGAAAUUUUCCUUCUACCCAGUGAAAUAUUUAAUGAUUAGUCUUCAUGCCUGAUACCAUCAACUGUAUAUGCGUGAUAGGCAAAGUUUGACAUAGGCAUUUGACUCUAGGCUAUGAUAGCUUGCUAGUAACUUCAAGUAGCAUAUUGUCAACCUGUUUGCUGGAAAAGUAGAGUAACUUGGAAAAAAAACUAAAUGGCAGCUAAGGAUUUUUUUCAGUAUUCCUGAGUUUCUGUCCUUGGGAUAUUUCAAUGAAAUUUUCACCUGUCUCUUCACUUAACAGAGUGACUGACUCCUUACUAUGAAGUAUUCUUAAGACAUUAAGAUUACUUUUGUAGAAAGGAUAAAAUUCCUGACCAUCCAAAUCAUCAUAGUGAACAAGACUUCAAUUUGUGACCUGAGAAAAUCUCAUUUCUCUACUUCGUAGUCAAUGUAAGGGCCAAUGCUAUCAGCUACUCUGAGUGCACUGGGUAAACGUUGGAACUGCCUUCUUUAUAUCAUUACUUUUUAUCCUCUAAAUUAAUCAUGGUUAUGUAAUUCUCGCCACAAAUCAGCAAAUCAGACUCAGAUCUGGUUAUUCUAGACUGCUCACAGUUAACAAAUCAAACUCUGGAUGACUUCUGCUUGUAUAUGCAACUACUAUUUGUAAAGAAAUUGCAAAUUCACUUUUCUAUUACCUCUACAUUGCUAGCUCUUUCUUUUGUGUUUGUAUUAAAAACAAAAAUAAGCUACACUGCCAGCUAUUCCCUCCUGCCAUACUCAGUUAAAAUGAAGAAUCGGGAAUCUAACCAGUGAAUGGAUAAGUAGAAAAAACUAAAACUUAAGGCAAAAGCCUUAAUCUAGGGCCUUUUCUACUAUCUUCAUGUCUUGGAUUUCAUCUAAAAUCAACAGUGCCACCCAACCAGUCUGAGGUCUUGACUUGCUUUUAAGAUGAUUCUUAGAGAUGGGCUGUAUUACAGAAGGUGAAGACUUGAUUACCAAAGAAAGUAGAGCCAACUUUGACAAACCUGGCUCUACAAUCCUAUUGCUUCCAGAUGUAGCAUAGACUCAUAACUAGAACCUCAAGUCUGCAUUGAGGAUAUAGCCUUCUAAGCUGACAGUUCUUGCAACAGGUGAGCAAGAAAAUGAAAGCUGUUAUACCCAACUGGCCCUUUAAGAUCCAAAAAUAAUGUCUGGACUAAACCCUAUGGAGUACCCAGGACAAAAACUAAUUUACAGAGCUUCAUUAUUAAUCUGCCUGUUCUUCUAGCUUAAUUAUUGGUAUGGCUGGCCCUACUGAAGUAGUUUGUCUGUUUACCUGUCUUCAGCUCUUAACCUGGCUAUUUUGACAUGCUACUGCAAUUAGACUAACUGGCUUUGAGAAGACUACAAUCAGUUUCAGCCUCUCCUUUGCCCAAUUUCACCAAGGAAUUUUGAUAAGAGGAACCCAUACCUCACCCCACCAGAACAGAAAGGACCAUGCUGCAUAUUCCUUGACCAGCAACUUUAAGUAGAGAACAACCCUGCUUGUUUUCAACAUCUGAAACACCAUUUGAUCUAAUAGGAGUAUAGAAGGUUGACAGCAGAGUACACUACUUACUUCUUUCAUAACUCAGAAAUGAAUAUGACUGGCCCAGAAGUUGUAAGUUCACCUUGACAAGAAACAGCAACACCAGAAGUUUACUGCUGAACUUAACUUGCCACUUACUCGAAUAGUCUCACAGACCUGCUUGCCAAGUAGGAGGCUAGUUUUCCUGCUUCAUAUCACCAUUGGAGUGGGGCUCAAUGGGGUCAAUGUUAAUACUGACUUGAAUGGGGACCUUAUGGUGAAUCCUAGACUAUGAGGCUAAUGGAAAUUAUUGUCUAUUCAAGUGGAUUAUAGAUUUCCUGAGGACAGAACAGACAUCACUCCUGGUGAUUUUUAGAACUUGAUUACCAAGGAAGAAAUACCAGCUGCUAACAGUCAACUUCAUGGGCAAAGAUUAAGCUCUCUAUAUCUGGUCGUAUCCUGGAUGCUAGUUUUUUAUUGCCCAGUGACCAUUUCCAUCUCACGCUUAACUUCCUGAUGUUUUUUGGAACCAUCUCUUCCAAUUUUCAGUCCUGGUGAUUUAGACAGUCUUUUCAUGCUGGACAUUUUGUUGCAACCUCAUCAAUCACAGCAAAGUCCAUCUUGACUUUAGUGAUUAGUUCAGGAAUGGAUGCAUGAUUCAAGUUUGUCCAAUGAUAAUCAACCCUAGGUGUUUUCUCAGUUGUGGAGAAGUUCUCUUAGAUGCUUUAGCUUUGUAGGAGAAAACUCAAACCAACAGGGCCUACCUACUAUGUUGAAUGAUUGUAGGAGAAAACUCAAACCAACCAGGCCUACCUACUAUGUUGAAUGAGCCAGGCAGAAAAUGAAGCCAGUACAGAGGGAAAUGGAGCCAAAAGAGGAAGAGACUUGAGUUCUGAUGAUCACAUUUAUGCCCCUGUAUCCAACUGUGCCUGAAGCUAAUAGUACAUCACCUGGACUUUUCAGUUAUGUGAACCAAUAAAUUCCCCUUUUUGUUUAAGUUACUUUGAGUU
rnacentral:lncRNA from 7 species